GGAAUCUUGCGCAAUGGGCGAAAGCCUGACGCAGCAACACCGUGUGUGCGACGAAGGCCCUAGGGUCGUAAAGCACUGUUGUUGGGGACGAAGGGCGAAGGGUUAAUAGCCCCUAGCCUGACGGUACCCUUCGAGGAAGCCCCGGCUAACUACGUGCCAGCAGCCGCGGUAAUACGUAGGGGGCGAGCGUUGUCCGGAAUUAUUGGGCGUAAAGAGCGUGUAGGCGGUUCGGUAAGUCCGCCGUGAAAACCUGGGGCUCAACCCCGGGCGUGCGGUGGAUACUGCCGGGCUAGAGGAUGGUAGAGGCGAGUGGAAUUCCCGGUGUAGCGGUGAAAUGCGCAGAUAUCGGGAGGAACACCAGUAGCGAAGGCGGCUCGCUGGGCCAUACCUGACGCUGAGACGCGAAAGCGUGGGGAGCGAACAGGA
rnacentral:misc_RNA from 1 species